rnacentral:misc_RNA from 1 species
UCCGACUUAACGUCGGCAGUCCGUUUAGAGUGCCCAACUGAAUGCUGGCAACUAAACGCAAGGGUUGCGCUCGUUACGGGACUUAACCCAACAUCUCACGACACGAGCUGACGACAGCCAUGCAGCACCUCUAAUGAUGUCCCGAAGGACAAUUUUAUCUCUAAAAUCUUCAUCAUCAGUUCGAGCCCAGGUAAGGUUUUUCGCGUUGCAUCGAAUUAAACCACAUGCUCCACCGCUUGUGCGGGCCCCCGUCAAUUUCUUUGAGUUUUAAUCUUGCGACCGUACUUCCCAGGCGGGACACUUAACGCGUUAGCUUCGGCACUGAAGGGGUCAAUACCUCCAACACCAAGUGUCCAUCGUUUACAGCGUGGACUAC